GGAUACCGAGGCCUAGGCGGACGGGAAGGAGGUCUUAGGGGAGGGAUCAAAGAGUCGUUUUAGGCUUAAAUAUAAAUAUAUAUGUAUAUAUGGAUAUUUGUCAGCCUGAAACCUCUUUUCAAAAGCCGCAGGGUGUCUCUGGCCAUUGAAUAACUUUCCUCAGUAGCAAAGUGAGGGUUUUGUGCGCGUCGAGGGCGCGUUGCGGCGGACAAGGGGCAGGUUUAGGAGGGACACGGUUCAAGUUCCGCGUCCGCCCCUUAGCUGCCGCUUGCACGUGGGCAAAUUAAUCUCUCCGAGCCUCCAUGUUCUUAUCGGGAACGUGGGGCAAAGAGUUGGGGUGAGGGCGAGCUCUCCCCUCCAGGGGCCCCUCGGGCGAUGCACCCACCCGACCCACCAUCAAAGGUGAAGCAGGCCUUGGGACUCUUCGUGCCAAGACAAGGAAUAAACAAACAAGCCAAGAAAUCCAGAAGACACCUGAAGAGGACUGACUGUUUCUUUGCCACG
rnacentral:lncRNA from 1 species